AAAGUCGUAACAAGGUCUCCGUUGGUGAACCAGCGGAGGGAUCAUUACCGAGUUUACAACUCCCAAACCCACUGUGAACUUAUACCCAAAACGUUGCCUCGGCGGGCACAGCGGUACCCGAGCCCCCCGCAAGGGAGGCAGAGGCGCCCGCCCGCCAGGGGACCAAAACUCUUCUGUAUACCCAUAGCGGCAUGUCUGAGUGGAUUUAAAAACAAAUGAAUCAAAACUUUCAACAACGGAUCUCUUGGUUCUG
rnacentral:misc_RNA from 1 species